CUCUCGGGUGGAUCCUGCCUGCCCUGCCGGGAGCUCUCCUGCCCUGCCUCGAGCUCUCCACAGCUCUCGGCAUUUCCCUGUGUCAGAGCCGCGCAGUGCUCGGGUGGGAGUCAGGCUGACAUUCAUUUUGAUAAAGGCAUCUUGAGAAGCAGCUUGAGAAACGCAGCAAGUUGAAGCACAGGCUGGAAAAAAGCACACCGCCUGUAGCUGAAAACCUGUUGAAGGUAAUAAUAAACUUUCUCACUGGUGAACAUCAGAGAAAUCCCAGGAGUUCCUGAAUUUGUCACAGGAAGCCUCAAAUGAGUUGAAGUUCUGGUCUGGAGUCAUGGUCAUGCCUGGGUACAAAGAGCCUCUGCUUGUAGCUGUUCAGAAAAAAAGGAGUCCUGACUGUGCCAAAAGAAAGUACAUGAGCAAGAAUGUUGAAUUUCAGCUCAUGAGAACUGGAACCUGAAAUGGCUCCAGGAUCUGGGUCAAGAGGAGAACUUGGUGAACUUCUGCAUAGAACAGAUACUUCCCUAGAGCUACAGAGUGCAAGAGAGCCCAGCAUGUGCAGGAGCUGUAAGGAGAGCAGAGUGAGGGCUGUUCUUGCCUUCCCAUGAAAUUCCACUCCUCCCCUGGUUUAGGUACAGGAAGGAAAGAAUCCAUCUGUGGCAUUUCCCUGUGCAAGAUGCCAAAUGUUCAGUUGGAAAGGAGGUUUCUUCCCCCAGUCAGAACUGUCUCCUCUGUACCUCAAGAACUUCCUGUAGGAAAUUUUUAGACUGCUGGUGGAGCCCCAUGGAAUGAGUCAGCUCUGUGCUGCUUUCAGUCCUGUGAAUGAAAGGAGUCUGGAGGCAUAAUUUCCUUAUUACUGCAGCAUGGGUUUGAGAAAAUUGUAGAAUUCACUGCUUUCUCAUAGAUAUGUCUGUCUAAUUGACAGAAAGAAAACACCAAA